rnacentral:misc_RNA from 1 species
AGAAAAUGCCUACAAUGGGAUAUAUUUAUGAGGCCAUAGAUAGGGCUAAAGAAGCAAUUGCCAAAUCAUUUGGUGAAAAUGAAGAAAGAUACAAGGCCGUGUUUAAGAUUUUUGAUAAACGGUGGGAAGACCAACUCCAUCGGCCUUUGCAUGCAGCUGGAUUUUUUUGUGAAUCCUGUUUAUUCAUAUAAGGAUAUUGAUCAAGAUGAAGAGGUUGCUACUGACUCAUACAAAGUUAUAGAAAGGCUGAUUCCAAGUUAAAAAGAGCAAGAUAAAAUCUUGGCACAAUUACCUUUCUAUCAAAAUGCUGAAGGCCUAUUUGGGAUGGAUAUGGCAGUUAGGAAUCGAAAAGCAGUAUCUCCAGGCAACAUAAUUUUAGUUAUUAGAUUGUAAUCUAGCCUUCCUUUUUUUUAAUGAUAAUUAAUAUGUUGCGUUAUUUUAUCAAUAGCUACAUGGUGGAAGACUUUUGAAGCUUCAACUUCAAAUUUGAGAAAUUUUGCUGUAAAAGUGCUUAGCCUCACAUGUAGUGCAUCUGGUUGUGAGCG